GUCACGGUAACUAGGGAGAAGAGAAGACAAGAGAAUUCAUAAACAGAGGCUUCCAUGGCUAGAAUGUCCCAUGCCAGCUUCUCUCUGGGCAGGGAGGAUGAGCAUAUGCUUCAUUGGUGUAUAUUCUAAACCAACUUGACAGCAUCGUUUCCAAAUGGAAGAGAACCUUGGGCUGCCGUGACAGCAGAUGGCCUGAGCCAACUCCAAAUCUCUCAAUGGAGAUGGAUAUUUUUGGUGUUACUCGAGUACUCUGUAGGCUGUUUGGUGACCUUUACUAGGCUCUGCAAUACGAAGCUUCUGAAGAAAAAAUAAAGGAUGCCAAGUUCCUUCCUGGCUAGGUUAUCACUGUCUUUGCUUUGAGUUUCCUUUCAGGACACAGAACCAGGUUGAUCAUGGCAUCAUGUAUGUAGAAGUAUUUCUUCAUGCUGCUCUUUGAAAGCACUUGUUUAAAAGGCCCAGCCUCCCUAGAUACUGGGGACUGUUUUUCUAGUCUACUCAGAUCCACAUGUGUUCCGUUUUAUAACACGACCGCAGCCAGAUGUGCUUCUAAAUGUGUGUUUUUAAACGUCAAGCCCAGCUAUAUGAAAUCUUCACCGCAGCACUGACUGAUGGGCAGGGGUGGGGCGUUUAAGCCUUUUUACAUCUGUCCGUAAGUCAGGCCAGCAAUGGAAAUAGAGGUGCCCAGCGCUCUC